rnacentral:lncRNA from 1 species
CAAGGGCCACCUCCUCCGCGGUCUAGCCGGCACUAAUAUUCACCAUGGCGCCGGCGGCACGUCGUUCUUUGCGAUGAGCCUCUACAGCCGUGUCCACCGCAUCUCAAUUCCCUAGAAAGAGAUGGUGGGGGGCAAUGGCGGGGUCAUGGCGUAAAGAAGGAGAAAAAAGAAUUCAACAAUAAAAAGACAAGAUGAGGCAGGGACGACUCACGGUUGAGAAGGAUGUCGACUUCGCCCGCCUCCUCCUCAACCUCGCGGUCCUGGACCGCACACUCCUAAGCCUGGCGAGCGAGCUUGUUCCCCAGGGCCUGUGUCGCCUUAACUUCCUUCGCCAGUUGAGCUUUCAUGUCCUUCAUGGCGGCGUCCUGCUGCGCCUUUUCGUCAAGGCGCAGCUUCUCCAAACGUUCAAGCUCGAUGGCUUGGGAGGCAUCCUUCCGCAACAUGUUGUCGUUGUGUCCGACGCGCAGCCGCUCCAGCUCCGUUUGAUGGGCCGCCUCGUGGUCCUUCUUCUCCAUCUGGAGAAGCUCUACUUCCUGACGUAGCCGGCCGCCCUCACCGCGCAAGGCGUCGCGCUCCGUGACGGCUCGGUCGAGCCGGCCUUGAAGGUCGCCUGUUUGUUCUAUGUAAUGAUCAUUGGCAUGAAUAAACAUUGCAUAACUAUGCGCUUUUAUACCAAUUUACCAACAAUAAUUUGUUUACCACCGUAUGCUUUUCUACCAAUUUAACAACAGUAAUAUGUUCACCCACCGUAUGUUUCCUACGGGAGACAAGCCUCUAGCGAAAACUAUCGCCCCGGGGUCUAUUCACAAAUAUAUUUACAAAAAUACUAAAUACUUCUUUGAAUUUUAUUAUUUGUAUUUAUUUUUUAUAUUUAAUAUAUUUUAGCUAUCUAUAUAUCACUACUUACCGUUUGCAAGUAACUAGUUCAAGGCGAUUGACAACCCUCUUGCUCGCGUUGGGUGCAAUUGUUUGCUAUUUUGUGUGUAGGCGCUGAACACAGGAAAAUGUGUCGUUCUUCUAUUGGUUUAAUAACCUUGGUUCUCACUGAGGAAAUACUUAUCUAUUCUCUGCUUCAUCAACUCCUCUUUGGGGAUAAAUCCAACGCAGAUCACAAUUAUCACGCGUGCGUUCCCACCCAACAUCGGCGGCCCACAUUCAUACCGAUGUAGAGCGGUCGCUCCGCAUUGAAGCCAUCCCGGAGCGGAUGUGGCAUCUCACUAGCACCGACGUUGAAGCGGUGCAUCGACCGACAGUGCCGCCCAUUGCACACCCGUGUGAGCAUGCCUCUUCGCUGCACUCAAACGCCUCUAUUAAACCCGCAUGUGUGCCAAGAAACCUAUUAUAGUAACAUGUCCAUUUGCGAGAUAGUCGGCCUUAAACACAACACCGGGAAAGCUCCCUGCGCCCGCCUGCUAUAUAAAGGAGGCCAGACGCUGGUAAAGGAUCGCACCACUCCUCCACUCCACAUCUCCCCCUUCCACCAUUUUCCCCCCCUUUCCAUGGCAUCCGACGAGUAGGAAGAGCAGUUGUCCAGUAUAAAAGUUGGUUGGGUGGCUCGCUGAGCCCUCUAGAUACGAACUAGGCAACUUGCUGCUCCUCCUCCCUCGCCGAGCUCGACAAAGAAAGUGGCCGCACCAAGCCGGCGCCUAGUUCAACAACUCUCUAUUCCAAGCCAGCUCACAGAGGAGUAGAGAGUUGCUCCAGACCGGCAUGGUGGAACUGACAUCAUGGCUGCCAUGGACGAGGCCAGGCGCCAAGCCAUCCAGCGUCGACUUUCGCGGAACCGCGUCGUGCUUGUGGACAAAGAAACUAGCUUGGAGAUUGACAAGGCUGCGGGGUUCGUGGGAGUUACCCGCAACUCUCAUACCAGUCGUGCAUGGCAAAAUUUUAGUCAUCGACUUGACUCAUUCCCGUAACCCACGGUGCCGCGCGGCGCAACGCGGCGCGGCGUGGCGAGGAGAGGCGGGCGACGGAGGAGCGCGCGUGUAUGUCUCUCUUGUUCUCAUGCUCAUACAUGUGUGAAACAUCAUCCCUUAUAAGGAGGUCCAACUCCUACCAAACUAGCAACGUGGGACUAAACUUUAGUUCCACCUCUUUCCUUGCACGAAUGGGAUAAGUGGGCCUCUAGGAUUUAUUGGAAAUUCUGAAGAAGAUCAUUGGGCUAGCCCAAAAUUAUUAAAUUCCAGCAAUCCCCCACCAGAUCCUAGAGGCACAAAAAAAUUGCCUUUGGUUCCAAAACACUGUUUAUAUACCGGUACUGCACAGGAGACUAUUAAGUUUAACUUCCACCUAGAACUAUAUGUUAUACUAGUAAGCAACUUGAAUAGUGGACUAUGCCUUGAACUGCAAGUUUUCUGUGAAUCUAGUUUCACAUAGAGCCUUGACUGAUACUAGGCUACCGUUGGUGGAGCUUAUGCGUCAUACUCCGAGGACUUUCAUAAGUUUACUAGAGAGCACCCUACUCUCAUAGAUUGCGAUGUUAACAAUCAGACUCAUGUAGGUGUGUUCUUCAAAAGAGUUCUGUAGGACAACAUCUCUGCUUCAACAAGACAUUUAGAACAUAUAAAGAUAUAUAUCAACCUUCCAUGCAUAUUAGGAAAGUAUUGCAUCUUCAUGGAGUGGUAUUAUCAAUGGUAAGGAUACUUUCCUCUCACUUGACCAACAACUUGUCUUCCACAUCUAAUUCACGGGAUCUCCGGUCACAUUGAAUAGUUUAGCACCGUGAACAACUCAUAUUGUGGGUCUCAUACCCAUCCCCUUCGAUGCAUUAUAUAUCACAUUACAAGAUAGACCCUUAGUAAAAGGAUAUGCCAAAUUUUUAGAUGUUUGGAUAUAAUCCAAUGAAAUAACUCCGGAGUUUCUCAUUUUCCUCACAGAGUUUAACCUUCACUGAACAUGUCUUGAUGACUUCAUGUUAUCCUAUGAACUACUCACUUUUGCACUUACAGUUUGAUUGUUGUGGUUCAUAAGAACACCUGGUGCAGGUUUCUCAACAAACUAUAAGUCAUUCAAGAGCCGACGAAGCCAAUCUUCUUCGCCAUAGCUGUAUCUAGUGUUGUGAGUUCUGCUUCCAUUGUUGACCUCGUUAAGAUUGUUUGCUUGCAAGACUUCCAAGAAACAGCGCCACCACCAUGAGUAAAUACAUAUCCGCUCGUGGCCUUUAUCUCAUCAGCAUGAGAGAUCCAGUUUGAGUCACUAUACCCUUCAAGUACCUUUGGGUACCGAGUGUAUUGAAUUCCAUAACUCGUAGUGCCCUUCAAAUAGCGCAUAACUCUUUCUAGAGCUUUCCAAUGAUCAUCUCCUGGUUUUGAGACAAACCGGCUCAGCUUGCUAGCAGCAAAAGAGAUGUCACGUCUCGUAGCGCUUGCUAAAUACAUGAGCGAGCCAAUUAUUUGGGAUUAUUUCAAUUGAUCUCUAGCAAUUAUUCGAUUCUUUCGAAGCAACACGCUAGCAUCAUAAGGUGUUGGAGAAGGCUUGCAGUUAGUAUAACCAAAGUGACUCAAGAGAUUUUCCACAUAGUGAGAAUGAAGCAAAGUAAUCGCACCGUCAUCACUUCUCAGCAGCUUGAUAUUCAGAAUAACAUUAGCUAAUCCUAAAUCCUUUAUCUCGAAACAACGAGAUAGGAAAUCCUUGACUUCCUUAAUAACAUUCAUAUUUGUUCCGAAAAUCAAUAUGUCUUCAACAUAUAAGCAGAGGAUAACUCCCUCGCCCCCACCAUGGCGAUAGUACACACAUUUGUCAGCUUCGUUUACAACAAAGCCUACACCUAUUAAAGUUCUUUCAAACUUCUCAUGCCACUUCUUAGGUGCUUGCUUAAGUCCAUACAAUGACUUCAAAAAUUUGCACACUUUUCCCUCAUGACCGUCCAUUAUAAAUCCAUAUGGUUGUUCCAUAUAAAUUUCCUCGUCCAACUCUCCAUUUAGGGAAGCAGUCUUAACUUCCAUUUGGUGGACGAGAAUACCAUGUGAAGCUCCUAGUGAAAGAAGUACUAGAAUAGUGGUCAGUCGAGCCAUAGGUGAGUAAGUGUCAAAGAAGUCUUCACCUUCCUUUUGGGUAUAACCUUUGGCCACGAGUCAUGCCUUGUACUUCUCAAUAGUACUAUCAGGCCUAAGAUUCUUCUUGAAUACCCAUUUGCAGCCUAUAGGUUUGCACACAUAGGGACAAUCAGUUAUCUCACAAGUUUCAUUUGCGAGGAUGGAAUCCAUCUCACUACAAACCGCUUCCUUCUAGUAGUCAGCAUCUUCAGAUACAUAAGCCUCUGAAAUAGAACUGGGAGUGUCUUUUAUGAGAUAUACAAGAAAAUCAUCACCAAAGGACUUUGUAGUCCUUUGACUCUUGCUCCUUUUAGGAUUCUCCUUGUUGUUCUCCACAGGAUCUUCAAGAUGUUGUGUUGCAAUAGUCGGUUCAGAAGGUGCACCUACAUCUUGACUCGAUAAGCUAGGCAUCUCCUGAUUUGAUGCGCUAGCCAUAUCCUUAAUGGGAAAUAUAUCUUCAAAGAAGGUCACAUCAUUCCACUCCAUGAUUGUGCCAACAUGCAUGUCAGAUACCUCAUAUUUUAUAAUCAAGAAUCUACAACCAAUGCUAUGAAAAUAUACCCCAGGAAAACAUAAUCCACAGUUUUUGGCCCAAGCUUUCGCUUCUUUGGAAUUGGUAUAUUGACUUUUGCCAAGCAGCCCGAAGUUCAUAGGUAAGAGAGUUUUAACCUUUUCUUCUCCCAUUCCUCAAAUGGAGUUAUCUCUUUGUUCUUUGUGGGAACUCGGUUUAGGACAUGACAUGCAGUCAAAAUCGCAUCCCCCACCAUGCCUUGGAGAGACCUGAUAUGACUAAAAUGGCGUUAACAAAAUCAGUUGGAGUGUGGUUCUUCAUUUCAGCUACCCCAUCUGACUGAGGUGAAUAGGGAGGCGUUCUCUCAUGGAUUAUACCAUGUUCGGCACAAAAAGAAUCAAAUUCAUUGAAAAAAUACUCUCCACCAUGAUCAGACCUAAGCCUCUUAAUUUUCUGAUCAAGUUUGUUUUCCACUUUAGCUUUAUAGAUCUUGAAGAAAUUCAAAGCCUCAUCUUUAGAUUUUAAAAGAUACAGAUGGUACCAUCUAGUGGAGUCAUCGAUUAAUGUCAUAAAAUAUGACUUUCCACCUUUCGUCAAAAACACUGUUCAUUUCACAAAGAUCUGAAUGUAUGAGUUGUAGUGGCGCAAGAUUUCUUGUUUCUGCAGUUGCAUGAGACUUACGAGGUUGCUUAGCUUGCACACAAACUUGACCCUUAGAUCCCUUGAUAGAAGUGAAGUUCAGGAUCAAGUUCAACUUGACUAGCCGCGUCAUAGAACCAAAAUUAACAUGACAAAGACGUGAAUGAAAGACAUUUGAUUCUCUAUUAUUGCAAACGUGAUUAAACCCUUUAUUACAAAACAUCUAAUAAAGAUAGUCUGAACAAGCCUCCUGACUCAUAACCUUUACCAAGAAAAGUUCCAUACUUGGAUAUAAAAUUUAUUGGACUGAAAGACAAACUUGUAGCCAUCUCAACAUAGAGGAGAUCCACUAACAAGAUUUUUAUUAUCGGAGGGUACAUAAUGCAUGUUCUUCAGCCGCAUUAUUUUUCCUGAAGUAAACUUCAGAUCGACCGUGCCAACACCACGAACAUAAGCACUUGAACCGUUUCCCGCCAGGAUGGAGGUAGUCCCUGCGGCCUGAUAUGAAGAAAACAUAGAAAUAUCACCGCAUAUAUGCACAUUAACACCCGUAUCAAUCAACCAAUCAGGAGAACGACAUAGUGAGAGAAUAGUGGGAAGUAUACCAUACCCAACAUCCUGCAUCUCAGCAUCACCAAUGAUAACAUUAGCAAUCUUGUCGCCUUUCCCAUGUUGACGCUUUUCAUAACGGUUAGGGCAACUAGGUGCCCAAUGAUGAGGAUCUCCGCAAACAUGACAAACACCUUUCUUUUUGUCAGUCUUCUUCUUGAGUGUGCUGUGAAGCCUUGUUCUUCCCAUCAAACUUUCCCUUACCAUCAAAUUUGCCCUUGUUAUUGAACUUGUGGGGUUGGAAGUUUUUCUUCUGCACCAGAUUGGCACUAGAACCUCCUUCCAUACCUCAAGCAUGUAUGUCUUGCCUUUUCUUCCACAUCAAGAUUACCAAUGAGAUCCGGAACGGAAAACUCCUUCCUCUUAUGAGUGGGAGAGGUAGCAAAGUUCCUCCAUGAAGGAGGAAGCUUAGUAAUAAUACCUCCGGCAACAAACUUCACCGGUAACAUACAAUUGAAGUUCUCAAGUUCUCCAGCAAAUGAUUGUAUCUCGUGAGCUUGUUCAACCACAGAACGCUCAUCAGUCAUCUUUAUUCAUAGAAUUGUUCCAUGAUAUACAGCUUAGUGCCAGCAUUCGAGACUCCAAACUUGGCCUCGAGCACGCUCCACAUAUCUUUCCAUUGUCAAUUGACGCAUAAGCAUCAACAAUGUUCUCACCAAGAAUACUCAAGAGAGCAUCCUUAAACAAGGUAUCAAUUUUCUGAAAAGCGAAUUCCUGUUGAGGAUCAAGAAUUCCUUCAGGUUUGCCAAGAGUGGCAUCGUAGCAGCUCAUGGUUUGAAACCAUAGAACAUCCCUUACACACCAUCUCUUAUAGUGCACACCCUCGAACAUAGGAGGCCUCAUGGAAGCAGCAAAACCACUCGGGGUAAAUUUCCUAAAAUAAGGUCUUCGGAUUGUUGGAAAUAUGAGCGAUUUACCAAGUGAUUUUACUAGCAGAAAUAGUAGAUGAAUCAUGACUACCAUAGCAAUUAUAAGACAAGCCAGUCGAUUAUACACAGAGUAUGCAAGUAGCAUAUGAAGUGAUGAGCAGGAACGAAACAUAUCUAGAAAAGAAACUAUAACAAGAAGUUGUGGCAGGAACUCAAACAAGAAGAACACGAGAACAUACUGAGUUGGAGCAGCAGCUAUAGUGGGAUUUGCGUUGACGUCGUCAUUGGCCAUGUUGCCGAAGAGGCUGUCGAUGUCGGGGAAGAAGUCGUCAUCCGGGAAGUAGUCGUCAGCGUUCGUGAUGGAAAAGCCAGUAGUCGCAUUGAGCGCUCCCCAAAAACCUUAUCGCCCUUCUCCAGUACAUGACUCAAAGAGACGGGGUUUCGGAGGCCUACUGUUCCGACCUGCGGUGCACGUCGCAAGCCGGGGCGGGGAAAAGCUAGCAGUAGCUCAGAGAUUGGAACUCGUUGGCAUGAGGAAGAUGGUAUUCUCGUGUGUCUCUCUGGAGAGGAGCGACCUGUCUUUUAUAGGCCCAUGAGAAGGAGGCAGGCACGCAACAUCGGGAGGCGAAGCAAAAGAGAUUGCAGUCAGGUUGAUAAUAGUCGAGUGACAUUACUUCGUCGGUCCAAACUAAGGAAUCUGUUAUAAAUGUUUUGAAAUAGAUAUUGUUCUCUCUUUGAUCAGGGAUUGCUAUAUGAAAAUAAGUGGAGUUUGAAAAAGGGAACGAAAUGCUCAAACCGGAACUGCUAGAGGAACGAAUUUUCAAUAGCAUAACUUGGGCUCCUAGAAUAUGGUGCCCUUGAGACAAUCUAUUUGAUUGCAGGGUUUUGUUCUGAAGCAAAGAUAUCCGCAGAGGACGGUUCGUUCGUCCUAUUCUGAUAUUCAGGACCAAGAGGUACUGCAUUCUCUGGCUGAAAUGCCAACGGAACUCUGUCUAUUCUCUAAUUCACCCGAUCCGAUAGUACCUGUUUUUGGAACGUCCAGUGCCAAAGUCAUUGAAUGGGUAAGUCACGAAUCCAAUCCCUUUGACAAAUCGGAUGUCAUAUUAUAUAUCAUAUCCUAUAUAUAUAUAUAGAAAUAUCAUAGAUACCCCGUUUCGUGACGAGGCGAGACGGGCGGCGGAGGAGGAGGAGCGUGCGUGUAUGUCUCUCUUGUUCUCAUGCUCAUACAUGUGUGGAAACAUCCUUUCUUAUAAGGAGGUCCAACUCCUACCAAACUAGCAAUGUGGGACUAAACUUUAGUCCCUCCUCUUGCCUUGCACGAGUGGGCUAAGUGGGCCUCUAGGAUUUAUUAGAAAUUCUGAAAAAGGUCAUUGGGCUGGCCCAAAAUUAUAAAAUUCUAGCACAUAAUUGGGGGGGGGGGUAUACCUCUGGGGCUCCCGAUAGUCCGAUGAGCAGGCUGCCGGACAUGAGGCAGACAAAGGGAUCCGCAGCGCUCGGCCAUAGAUUAGUGUAGGGUAUCCAUGUCGUUAGAAUGGAGCUCCACGCGACCAGACGUGCACAUAGUUUUACCUAUUUUAGUUCAAAUAUGUCCAAAAUGCAAUGAAUUUAGUCCGGUUUAUAUGAAAUCCGUUGUGUUUGCAUGAGUUUCAUCUGCUUUGUUGGAAAAGUGUUUGAAAUAUACUUCCUCCGUUCCAAAAUAUAAGACCUUUUAGGAAUUUCACUAUAAGACUACACACGGAGCAAAAUGAGUGAAUCUAUACUCUAAAAUAUGUCUAUGUACAUCCGUAUGUAGUUUAUAGUGCAAUCUCUAAAAGGUCUUAUAUUUAGGAACGGAGGGAGUAUGUGAGUAACGAUGGAUGACCGACAACACUCGAGAAUAUCAUUUUUGGUGGUGCUCCUCAGGUGCCGAGUCAUCACUUUCAAGGUGAAAACCUAAGGUCUAACUUUCGUUUUGUGCCUUAUAUUAGAGUAUUUAACCAAAAACCACCAUAAUUCAUGGAAACGUGCCUAGAAACUACUACUAUACGUUUUUGUGCCGAAAGCUACCAUUUUUAUCCUAAUCAGUGGCAAAAAACUACCAAGUGUGAAUAUUGCUCCAUUAGCCUCUUUGAAAUGCCUUUUAUCCUAAUCCGUUAACUACUCCAUUAACCUACCUGGCGCAGCCCCGCCGCCGUCGCCAUGGCCUCGCCCAAAGCGGCGGCCGCCCCGUGCCUCGCCGUCGGCAGGCCUCCUUGUCGCCGACCACGUCGCCGUCGGAUCCCGGCGUCCUGCGAACCGCCCCACGCUGCCAGUCUCCAUGCCCUCGCACCGAGCGGCGGCCGCCCCGCGCCUCGCGGCCGAAGGCCUCCCGUCGUGGACCCUGCCGUGGUUGGAUCCCACCGCCUCGCCUCCCUGGCGCAGCCUCGUUGCCCCGUGAACCGCCCCGCGCCGUCCAUCGCCAUGGCCUCGCCUCGAGCGGUCGUCGCCAGCGUCUCGCCGUCACCAGAUCCGGCAGGCGUCGCCCUGGUUCCGCCUCUCCCGGACCUCCCCGCCGCCCUGCUCAUGCCGGAGUGCUGCGUGUAGAUCGCGUCGUCUCCUCCAGAUCCGGUCGCACCGCCGCCGUACUUCAUCUUCUCCACCUCCGGUGAAGGCCGCCGCCGUCUCGAUCUCUUUCUCCGGUGACGGCAAACUUAACGGUGCUGACUUUUCCGUCCUGACAUGUGGGCCAACCCUGUCAUAAUGAGUUUAAACGAGCCAAAUGAGGCGUUUUGCAGACUUGAUUGUUUUUAGUCACAGAUUAGCAAAAAAAAAUUGAUAGUUUUUGGCGCAAAAACGAAUUGUGAUAGUUCCUGGGCACGUUGGCGUGAAUUGUAGUAGUUUUUGAUUAAAUACUCCUCAUAUUACCUUGAUGAAGGUAUUGUUUCGAGAGCUCGGUCUUUUUAAGGGAGAAAACCUAAGAUCUUGGAUCGGACGACGAUGACGCUUGUGCACCGAUUUUUUUUUAAAGGCAUCAUUUUUUAGGAUGGUUUGAGUGUCGCUGCUGCUGAGAAGAGUUGUUCACUGUGACGAGUAGUUGAAAAUGCUCUUACUAUUACAUUUUUCUUUCAAACACGUUACAGUUUACUCCCACCUCAAGUAGUUCCGAGCUACUGUACGUAGUAGCCACACACAUGGAGCGACUCACUCACCUCCAACCAAUUUAACUUUCGUGAAUCUUUGAUCGCUUUUCAUUUGGCCCAGCUCGACGUCACGCGGAUGUCCCCGAUGGAUCUCGCCGGCCACACGCCCCUCGACGACGACGAGAUGAGCAGCGUGUGAUCCUCGUCGCCCCGUCCAUCCAACCGAAGAUAAGACGCCCACUCCCUCCCCUCCACAUGGCACCCACCCUCCAAUCCCUUACUUAUUCCCGCCCCCCUCACUCCUCCAUCCCCUAGCUCCACCUCUCAUCCGCUCCUCAGCCACACCUAGAGCAUCUUAGCUCCAGCUAGCCACCAAUGGCCGCCGCACUGAGCCUCCGCGCGCCCUUCUCCGUGCGCGCUGUGGCGCCACCGGCGCCCCGCGUGGCCCUUGCGCCCGCGGCCCUCAGCCUCGCCGCCGCCAAGCAGGUGCGGGGAGCCAGGCUCCGCGCGCAGGCGACGUACAAGGUGAAGCUGGUGACGCCCGAGGGCGAGGUGGAGCUGGAGGUCCCCGACGACGUCUACAUCCUGGACCAGGCCGAGGAGGAGGGCAUCGACCUGCCCUACUCCUGCCGCGCCGGCUCCUGCUCCUCCUGCGCCGGCAAGUUGGUGUCCGGCGAGAUCGACCAGUCCGACCAGAGCUUCCUCGACGACGACCAGAUGGAGGCAGGGUGGGUGCUCACCUGCCACGCCUACCCCAAGUCCGACAUCGUCAUCGAGACCCACAAGGAGGAGGAGCUCACCGCAUAAGCUGCUUACCCUGCCUCUCUUUGCAACAAGAUCGAGCUGAUAUCAUAUUAUCUCCCAUCAUGCAUGCAUGCAUGGAUAUCGCCAGAUACACCGAUUUGUUUGUGCUCGAAUGAAUUGCUCGAUGCAUGGUUUGCUCCAGUAAUAAUGUCUUCGAAUUACUACCUUUUUGUACCGUAAGAUAUACUACUGUCGUAAUACUAGCGUGUACUUAAUUCAACGUACUGAAAUGAAUCCUGAUGGCUGAGGUGUCUCUCUGAUUAAUAAUAUCUUCUUUUUUACUUAAGAUAAGAGACUGCUGAAUGUUGGUUGCUAACGGUGGUGGUUGAUGUUGAAGUUUUGUUGCUGCAAGUUGAUUGCUUCGCCGCGUUAUGCCUUGCCUUGUUUCUCAUUUAUGUAUUUUUGAUGAUGCAUCGUCGCACUAGGUAGCUCUUGAAUUGUGUUUGGGGGCACCUUGAAAUUAAUAAACAGUAAGGUAGGUCACAAUGUCUUCAACCCCCUUUCUAGAAACCACUCUAACAUCAAAUAGAAUAUUACUCUAUUGAUUAGUACAGAGAUGCUAUAUACACUUUGUCACAGUUUGUACAGAGAUUGUAGGUGAAUGCAAUUGAAUUAAACCAUAUGUGACAUGCACCGUGAAGUCGAAACCUUGCAACAUAGUGUCAGAAAUAACAAAUCGAUGUCUUACUUCAUUAGAUGUGGAACCAUCUACCCUCGUUGUUGAUCAUCAUAAUGGUUUUAUAAACCCCCAACAUGUUGUGUUUUAAAACGAUUGUACCAUGUUCUUGUUUCGACUGCCGGGGGGAGGGCUCGUGAUGACCUACUCUUUCUCAAGUUAUCAUGUUAGUCACUUGGAUGACUUAGGCCCUGUUUGGAACUAUAAUACUCCCUCCGUUCCAUAAUAUAAGUCUUUUUAAAGAUUCCACUAAAAAACUACAUACAGAUGUAUAUAAACAUACUUUAGAGUGUAGAUUCACACAUUUUGCUCCGUAUGUAGUCCACUAGUGAAAUCGCUUAAAAGACUUAUAUUUAGGAACGGAGGGAGUAGAUUAUAAUAAUCUAGAUUAUGAAGAUAGAUUAUAUAAUCUGGUUUAUAAAAAUAAUCUAGAUGGACAUGUUUGGAGGCCGGAUUAUAUAAACUGUAAUCCAGAUUUUACAUUGCAUAAUGACCUGUCUGCCCUCUGUUUAAAAAAAAAAAAGGGUGGCGGUGGUAGGAAUGUAAUUAUCUCCAACUUUACAAGGGUAAUAGAUCAUUAGCAAUCCAUAAUCUGAUUUUAGCUGGUAUAGACUAGAUUAUGAGUUUUUAAUAAUAUAUCCAUCUAGUUUUUAUAAUCUACACCAUAAGCUGUCCUGUUUGAAGACAAAAUAGAUUAUAGAAACUGGAUUAUAUAAUCUGGAUGGUUCCAAACAGGGCCUUAGAUGGAGAUAAUGCACACCAUUGAAAAAAUUAUACUUAUAGAUAGGGUCACUUUAGUGGCUGGAAUAGUCUCGGACCUGUCACUCGUACUUCGGUCCAACAACGUACAUGCCAUUGCAAUUUACUGAGCAGGGAUUGCCGCCCGCCACUGAUUUUCUAGUCCCACAUUGGCCAUGGGGAAACCUUUUCAGUGGCGGGCGGUCGGGUACAACCUACCACUGGCAGUGAAGUUGUCACUGGCAGGCACCGGUUUCCUCCAACCAUUAGUGCACCACAUAUGUAAUUUUCUAAUUUCCUGCAUUUGUUUUUACAUUUUAGUGUGGUAUUCUUUUGUGACUUUGUUACUGUAUGAGAAUUGUUUGACCUUUGUAGUAUCUUUAUUUGCUAUAUUUUAGACAUUUUAUUAAUAAAGUUGUAUUUAAUUGAAUAUAAUUAUAUUUUUUGAACUACAACUAUAUAUUUUAAAUUACUUUCAAAGGUUCGAAGACAAAUAUUUAUGUCUCGUGAAACAAUAGUAUUGUUUCACCAAUAUUUGAGCAGUUUUUCAGCAUAUGUAGUUCAUAUUUAAUUUAUGUCCAUUAGAUAAACUAAAAAUGCAUUUAAUGCCCCAAAUAUAUCAUAUAAACCUAGAAACGCAUUUAAUGCCCCAAAUAUAUCAUAGAAAACUAGAAUAGUCCUGAAUUUGACCAAGGAACUUGUAAUGGUGUAUACCAAAAAUAAAAAAAGUUUCUGUUAAAAAAUGAUGAAAAAAUUGUGUUCCCAUUCAAACCCAACAUUUUCCCUUAGAAACGUUGAUACUUCCGUGGAGACUGUUAUUUCUACGUGAAGUGCAUCGGAUUUUUUCUGUGAGUCUCUAAUUUUGUUACCACACCUUCGGUUUCAUAUCAUGACACCAUGCAAAGUUCCAUCAUUUUCAAACUGAAUUUACAUCUAUGUAUAAAAAAAAUCAAUACUCUUAAUAGCUAGAAAUUGAUCUGAUGCUUAAAAAUAGCAAAUCAACCCAAAAGGUGAUAAAGUCUAUCAUGAGUCUUUAUGAAGUAAAUUCAACCCCACAAAAGGUGGAAAUUAAAUUCUACCCCUAAAGCAGUAAAGCAAACAUAUUGCAAAAAAUGCAAAAAAGUAGCGUGCGACCAUAAACACCCUCCAUUGAUUGAUUUUGGUCACAUUCCCGCGAGUGAGUGGGACAUGCCCGCACCUUCAACCUGCAAAUGUGGUUGCCUUAUCCCCCAUUGUCGACCUCUCCCAUCCGACUCUACCCAAUCCCUAGCUUGCAAUCACCAUUGCUGCACCCGUCGUUGUCGCCGGCGAGGGAAUCAUCGUCUUUUUCAUGGGUUGUCAUUGUUGCAACAACCCCGGUCAGCGUGGCCGAAAUGCCCACCCCAUGGCCUCCUCCACCAGCAAUGGUGGCCUAACCCGCUGCCACUAGCCUCCUCUUCCUCCAAGCCCGAUGCCUUUAACUCUCCCCAUGUCUCCUUGCGCGUCGGUGGCCCCAAUCUCCUGGUUGUAUUUUGCAAUUGCAAAGGACAUUGUAUUCGUUGUGAGAUACUUAAAUCUGUUGAAAGGAUAUCGAAUUCUAUAAGCAACAUGCUUCUUGCUUGUGGAAUGUGCAGGCUAUUCUUUCAUGGAAAAUUUGGUCUUAGGAUACUUGGGGAUAGGAAAUAGAGAAUUAAUCAAGGUAGAUUGUUGUUAAUCCAUUUUGCUUCAUAUCCUUCUAUUGAUGUAUGAUUAGCUCGUUCUUUCUAGACUACGCCAUAUACAUCAUUUCUUUAGCAAAUUUAUUUACUCCUGCUUGCAUAACUAUGUCGUAUGCAUCAUUAUGCUUAGCUCCUGCUUGCAAGAUUACUUGAGGAUAAUAGGAAGCAAUUAUGGUUUCAGAAUAAACCAAUCAGAAUAAGAAACACAUCCUCUAUACUCACAUCAUCUUUUAUACCUCAAUGCUUGUAGGUGUAGUGUUUUUUGCCCCAUGCAAAUUUGUGUUACGUCAUCUUUUAGAUACAAAUCAUGGUACCCUUGUUCCUGUCUUGACAUCAUGGUCAUGUUUUAAAAAAAGCAUUUUCUUAUUUAUGUUACACCCCACAUGUAUGUAUACAUAUAUUUCUUUUUUAUGUCUCUUUGAAGGUUGUUAGUGCCACAUGUAGGUGGGGUUGUAUUUUUUUAUUGGUGAAAGUUGUUGGUUCUACAUGUUGUGUCACCUUAUAUAAGGUGUAUUACACUUUAAAUAGUAAUGUGCAUAUCUCCAAAAUUUGUAGGGCUUCAAAAUGAGUGCCAAAAUUCUGGCGAAAUGUUGAUUUAUUUCCAUUUCACCACAUUUUGAGCACUCAAUAUUUUCAAUUUUUUUAGCAAAACUAUGCCCAACUUUUCCAAUGAUUCAUAAUUGUUUACCCUUAUUAUUUUAUAGAUGUACUGGCUAUACUAUAGUGUAUAAAUGAUGCGACGAACUAUGUGUUUUCUAUUUAAUUUCUCAACAUGAAUGUAUGCAAUCAACCAUGUAUACCCAUGAUGUGGUAACAUCAACGUAGGUGUGUGCCACAGGUGCUUAUCAACUCUAAGGAAUUCUACGUAGAUCUUGACGAGAACUUUCCACAGAGGAUUGUACGUUUUAAUUCAACAUGUGUUGUGGAUGCUGAAUUGCUCACAUAUAUAAAAUUACCCAAAAAAUGUCUAUUUUUCAUAUUUCUCCAUGCAUCCCUUGUUAUGCAAGGCUCACUUCCUACAUAAAGUGAACGUGCCAUAGAGGAGAAGGUUACAUUUGAGCUCAAGAUGAUCAUGUUAAAAAAUGGCACAACCUUCAACCUUACGGUCACCAACGAGGCACACGGAACCUUUCAGUUGCCCAUGUUGAAGAGGGAUUGCAACCGAAUAAAUGAUGCAAAAUGCGAAGGCAUUCUUGUUUUUUUAGCGAAGGCGUUCUUUGUCGUUUCUUGGCGAACAAGAUGAUGAUGACAACAUCUAUAUGUGGUUCACACCGCCCCCACCACCAUAGUUGUUCUUGGUGGAAGGAUUCGGAGUUCAUAGGCAUAGUUUUAUCAUGCACUUCAUUUAAUGCAUAUGUUAUAUCUUUUUAUAAUCAUCCAAAUUUAUUCCUCAAAUAACGGCUAUAUCAUUUAAAAUUAAAAGAGAAAUAGAGUUUAGGGGACUAGAAUCCCAAAUAGAAGAGGGUCUAUAGGUAAAACUAGUCUUUGCUAGAGAAUCUGCUAUUUUGCUUCCCAAAGCAAUGGGCAAAAGAUGUGCCAGCAAAGUCCAUCACCAGAAAAUAGCAUUCCACGAUAGUGGCUGCAUCUGGCUCGAAAUUAUUCGUAUGCCAGUUCACAACCUCCACAACUAGGAUACCCAUGAUGUUUCGAUAAUCACAUUAGGUUUCCAUCACAUUAUUGCACACAAUGUUUCCAGCCAAACGAGCCCUUUGCGAAUGGCACUUAACUCUAUCAAAUCGGCACUACUGACAUGAGGCAAAUACCAUGUAACAGUGAAUGACACUUAACUCUAUCAAAUCGGCACUACUAACAUUAGGCAAAUACCAUGUAGCAGUGAAUGGCACUUAACUCUAUCGAAUCGACACUAUCGACAUGAAGCAAAUACCACAUAGCAGCGAGAGAAAGUUGCCUUUGUCAUCACGUACAAUAGCUCCCAUCGCACUCGAUUGUGUUUCAUAACGGAAAGAAGCAUCCACACUAACAUUAACACUUCCCAUGUUAGGUCUCUUCCAUAUAUGAUAUUUUUUUCAUACAGCUGAUUUGAAGUUACUGCUCUUAUGAAAUCUUUGGCCAAAACAUUGAUAGAAACUGCUCCCUUUUAGGGUUUUGGAGAGUGUAGGAUCGAAAGUAUGUCUAGUGGAGGGGGCUUCAUUAGACUACUUGAUAAGAUAAAAACUGAACCUUUUUCCUAAUUUUAGUUGUGGGCUAGUUUUAGCAAUUAUGACUAGUCAAGUUCAUCCUACUCAUGCAUAUCUAAGAUUAUAGCAGCGGAAAGUAAAGACAUGCAAAUGUAAUGAAGAGGGUAAGGUAGGAAGAUCAAAUGCAAAGGUCGACACGGUGAUUUUUGGCGUGGUUCUGAUAGGUGGUGCUAUCGUACAUCCAUAUUAGUGGAGACUUCAACCCACGGAGGGUAACAGCUGCGAGAUUACACAAAGGGCUCCACCCACAAGGGCUCCACGAAGAAGCGGCCUUGUCCAUUCCACCAUGGCUUACGUCCACACAAGACUAACCUCACUCACGGUAGAUCUUCACGAAGUAGGCGAUAUCCUUGCCCUUACAAACUUCUUGGUUCAACUCCACAACAUGAAGUAGGAGGCUCCCAAGCGACACCUAACCAAUCUAGGAGGCACCACCCUCCAAAAGUUAAUAGAUGCAAUAGAAGGAUGAACUCCUUGCUCUUGUGCUUCAAAAGAUAGUCUCCUCAACACUCAAUCACUCUCUCAUAGAUUUUGCAUGGGUAGGAGAGAUUGAUCCCAUGGAAAGCAACUUGGGGAGGCUAGAGAUCAAGUUUCAAAUGGUUGAAUUGGAAUCUCUUGAUCUUAACACAUGCAUGAGUAGGUGGCUUUCUCUCAGAAAUAUGGAUCUGGCAAGUGGGUGUGUGUUCUCAGUGCUUCCUUUUCGAAUGCGAGGAGGUGGAGGGGUAUAUAUAGACAUCUCCCAGAAUCCAACCAUUACCACAUUAUUUCCCAAUGCGGUGACACCGAAAGGAAUCUUAGUGGUACCAAGUUGCAAUAAAUGUGGCACCUUUUGAAUUCUUGGUAGACCAAUAUAUGAAUCUCGAUGGUAAAGAUACGAUGAUCUAGACCAGUUUCCAAAUCUCGGUGAGACCAAUUCCAAUCUCGGAAAUUCUGAUUGUUGGAAUUUUCUCAACAGAAAGUUGGUCAUUGAAUCUCGGUGGCUCUCAUAUGAAAGUUUGUGGUACCGCCAGAUUAGAGUCUGGCAACGGAUCCAUUGGGUGGAAAAUUAGUAGGGCCAAGUGGAAAAUAUUGGUGGCACCGAUUUUGCUCGUUUAGCUUUGGACAGGGAUAUCUUGUGGGAGAAUGGCUUAGUAGUUUUGGUGGCUAUCUCUAAGCACUUGAGCAACCAAUUCACCGUAAUACCUCACCCCCUUUAAAUAGUAUUGGCCUUCCUAUGGACUCAAAGUGAUUUAUCACAUAUGUAAAAUGUAGAGUCUUCUUGCUUGAAGCUUGAGCUAAUCCUAUUCCUUCCUUCAUCAAGGGGUUUCUCCACACAAUCCUUUAGCCAAGGCAUCUUUGAACUUUUCUAAAAUAUACUUGGAUAACAUCAUUAGUCCAAUGAUGCAUAUGUUGUGAUCAAUUAUCAAAACCACCUUAGGGAGCAAUUGUGCUUUAAAUCUCUCCCUUUUUGGUAACUGACGACAACAUAUAGAUCAAAGCUUCAACAAAAGGUAUAAUCAAUUAUUAGCAUCGACGCUUUGAGAAGUACGUGGAAAGCAAGAGAUGCCCCUAUAUUUGUGCAUUAUUUUAUAUUUGCAUUGGAAUGCAAAUGCACAAUCGAUUAGGAUCAUGGGUCACUCUUCCAUGUCACAUAUAGCUUGGUGGUGCGCAUAAAUGAUAUGAAUAAAUAGUAAUGCACAUAACACCAAACAAGCAAGUGAAUGAUCAUCAAGUAGAUGGCUCCAAGGUAAUAACGUGGUAGCAGCAAUCAAACAAAGUAUAGAUCAAACACUUCUCCCAAACACAUAAAGUCAACCAAAAGACCAAAAAAUUGAAAAACCAAAUGAGACCAAAUAAAAUGCAAACCUCUCCCUCUCGAAGACUAUUUGAUCUAUACACUUGUCCUCCUUUGGCGACAAGUUACCAAAAAGUUUGAAGGUCUAGAACUAAUUAUCUCUCUGGCUUGAACUCCUCCGGUAGAUGAUGAUGGAGUGGAUAGGAGAGCGUCGAUGAAGGCUUUUGCACAUGUCCCUGGAGCUGGAGGUGUUGACACUAGAGGUGCAGGAGCAGGAGUUGAAGGUGCUAAAGCUUGAGCUGAUGAAGAUGGUCUUGCUUCCAGAACUGGCAUAGUUGUUGACCUAGUCUGGGUCGUGAACUGAGUAGUAGUAGGAAGAGGCGACUCUUCCUCAUCACUUCUAGAGCGGGAUAUAUGCACAGAAUCAACUUUAUGCUGGAGCUGCUCAACAGUGGUAGUCAACUCCGUUACCUUAACCUCCAAGUCAUGGAAUUUUGUCUCCACGAUCCUCUCAAGUCUCUUCUGGUUCAGCAAGAUCUCGGAAAUUUUCUUCUCCAUCCCUUGGAUGGUACUGACCAAGAAUGACAUCUGCUCAUCUCUGGUCCUGAGCUAUGCGGUUGAAGCUGGAGCAUUCCUAGCAGCCGCUGUCUCUGCUACCUCUGCUGCCGCUUGAGCUGUAGCUGAGCUAGGAUGGCUAGGGUCCAUCACAACUUCAUUAUCUUCAAACUCUGGCUGAAGUGGCAGGUGGGGACGAUCAAGUAGAUAUGCAUGCUUGCCAAUCUUGGCAUUGAUGAGCAUCUGAAUAUAUGGAGCAUAUCCACAGGAUUUCUUUUGAUCUACAGCAGUCUUCCUCACAUGCUCAACUAUCAAGUCCAUCAUUAUGAACCGGAAGUGGGUGUCUAGAUGAUCCAACAUGUUGAUGGAAUAACCUCUAAUAAUCUUAUCCUCUCCUGAUUUGGGCAUGAGGGUGUAUCUCAUAAUGGUGUUUGUAGUAGGUAUCCCUGCUUGCAAGAAAUAGACAAAUCCAAACUUGUACAUCUGCACAUAUUUAUGAGGCACUGGCUUGUACAUUUUGCCGUAGAGUUAUGAUUCAUCUUGGGUUCUGAGUACACAUCCAGAUCUCCUUCUUGUGCCUUUGGAUCACCAAUUGUAGUGGCUCACUCAUACAUAAUAGACUCAUACCGGUGACCUUCAGUCAUCCAUACAAUCCUUCCGUCAGAACAGAAAUUAGCGAUGGAAUAGAAUUGCAUGAUCAUCUCAUCAUUCCAAGCAGUCAUCUCUCUGCCAACAAAAUAUUUAAUAUCGACUAGCCUGAAGUUUUCUCUCACAUGGGGAAAAUAAUGCUCACUGGCCUUGAUAUAUUCCCAAUGGACAUAUCUCAUAUCGCUGACUGCAAGACUCUUAUCAUGAAACACACUCUCAUAGAAAUCUUGUUGCUCCUUUAUGUGAAAGCGGGGAUCAACAACAGUUCUCCGUCUCACAUCAUAUGGAUCAACUGAUCUCCACUUACUCACUCCUUGAUCUCUCCUCUUUUGUAUGUCCUGAGCAGUUGGUGAGCAACAUUGUGUAGUGGCAGAUGAGCUCAAAGCUUCAUUAGAACAGGGGCACCCUCUUCCUCUUCUACCGCAAACUCUCUGGAUGCAGAGCCUUUGUUCCUCUGUGCUGCAGGAAUGUCCUUGGUAGUCUUCUUGGGAGCUACAGACUUCUUAGGAGUUGAGAACUUCUUGGGAGCAGAAGGCUUCUUUGGCAUAGCAUCAACCAUCGGCUUUUUCUUCAUAGGAGGAGGGACCUUAUGUGGAAUUUAUUCCUCCUCCUCAUCAACAACUUCUUCUGGGUCUUCAUAUAUUGAGGUUGGCCUUCCAAUAACAUAGUCAAUUCUCUUUCUUGCUCUCGUAUGACAUGGCUUCUUUGCAAGCCUAGCUUCUGGAGCUUUCAUGUCAGAACGUAUGGCAUAUUCCUUCCUCACAGUCUUCCUGACUGCGGUCUUAUCUUUCUGCUUCUCAGGAACAGAUUCCUCUGGAAUAAAGUCAACAUCUUCUUCAUCCGAAUUGAUCUUCCUUCUGGACCUGGUAGCUGCCUUGGACAAGCUAUGGGAGCUAGGUGUCCCUGGGUCAGAAGGUGUCCUCCUAGGACUAGUGCCUGAAUCCAUCUCAGCACUUGGCUCAGUGAAGUUGUUCUGACUAUCCUCUGAUCCUGACAUACUGUCACAGAGCCAAGUAGACAAUCAAACCCUAUGAAUAGAUAUACAAGAUCUAGAAGGGAUGAGCAUCACAAAAAUCAGAAGUUUUGGAAAAAUCGAACUCUGAAAAGUUAGGUUUAACAUUUAGCAAAAAAGGAUUUGUGUUCCAUCGAGACAAAAAUUUCGGAGGCACCGAUACUGACGUACUAAUUAACAGAAACUUGGCACCCUUUUCCGUUCCACUGAAAAGGAGAACUCACUUUCACCGAGACCGUUCUCGGUAGCCCUAAAAAAUCGUUAAGACCAACUUUUCUAAAUCGGUGACACCGAGAUUCAAUCUUGCGGAUGGCUAACCCUAAGAAUUCCAUUGUUCUCUAAUCUAUGGAAUUUUUCUUCUAGAUAGGAUGAGUGUAGAAGUGGACAAAAUUCAUCAAAACCUUAAUGCACAAGAAUCAGAAUUGGAGCGCAUAAAGGGGUCGGAUCCGUACCCUAGCUUGGUGAUGUAUCCGCUACGGCAACGACGACGGUGAAGAUUCCUGUUGACAACGAAGACUCCGGUGGUGAGGGCGCACGUGAGAAUUAAGGCGAUGUCCACGGGACUAGGGCGCGGCAUCGAGGAUGUGCGUCACGCGACGUUUGAAGUGAUUUUCCAAUCAUCGGGUCCGUGAGAUAUAUAUAUCUCCUAGCUGUCGGUGACACCGAUAUGGAAUUUUUGGUGCCACCGAGUUCCACAACUGUCAACUGAAAGUGAAAAUAGGUGAGGCCGGAAAGAACAACUCAGUCAUACCAAGUUAAGAAAACCUGAUCAACCCUAGGCUUCGGUGGGACCGAGAUUUUGUGGUUGGUCACACCGAGAUGCAAUUUGGGAGGUUUUGGGAUUCAGCACUUGUCGAGACGGAUCUAUCAAGCACUUGUGUCCCUAAAGUUCUUGCUCAAAUUUUGUGUUGUAGCAUGAAUAGAAUUUGAGACGAGAAAGCAUAGAUAGCUAGAGGGAAGUACUUAGGCAUUCUUGUAUAUCCAAUUGGCCAAAUGAAAUAGAAAGACAAAUAACAACAAUUGGAUAUCCUCGAAUGAGAAAAAUAUGCAUACCAACAUGCUCACACAAUAAGGUGUCAAAUAAAACAUGGUGAACAUGCACGAACAUUCUAGCAUCUAUCAAGCACUUUGGCGAUAAGGAAUUCAUCUAUAUAUGAGUAUAUUGACAUAGGAGCCAAGUAAGAGUACUUGACAAUAGGUCAUACUCAUCGAUUAAGAACAAGUGGGGUUAUCACUUUUACAUAAAACAUUAAUGUGCUCACAUCAUUUAGGAGACGCUUAUACUCAAGUCUUAGAGUAAAGCUCCUCCUAGAUGUGACAACCCCCUAAGAGGGAUAAACUAACCUUAGGUUUUGUAGUAGAAGAUUUCAAGUAGGUGUAGUAGUGGUGCAUGCUCAUUGUUGAUAAAGAUCAUCUUUGAGUUGGGAGCAAUCCUAGUUGUUUCUUACCCUUCUCACCUACAUGGGUUAGUCCCAAAGCAAAAGGAAUGUAUGCAAGAAUAUCUAUGGACAUGGCAUGAAGUGCAUGAGAGGUGAUGUAAAAAUAUGCAUUAAUUACCUUGUCCUUUGCUUACCUUUGAGGUAAUGUGUGACUCCUUGAACUAAUGCAUAUGGUUGGAGUUGAUUGCAUAUAGUUCUUGCCAAAAUGAAUAAGAGUGAAUUUGAUUGGUAGAGUCACCCCCUCAAGAAGUUUCUAGUUCUUCAUCUUAGGGACCCACAUCAACUUGAUGGGGAUCCUUGGAGUUGUGAUAGCAGUAGAUGAGGUAGUGUUAGUUGUGUCCAUGGGAUUCCACUCGACCUUGGCUUGGGUUUCUUCCUCAAAUGAUUCAAUCUCCUCUUGAAGCUUUCCCUUGCCCUUGUGAUCUUGUGGUUGAAGGUCAUGUUGAGAGCUUGUUCCCUUGGGAAGAGUAGGAUCAUACUUUUCCUCUUGAGGAACGAACUUCGGUAUGGGAUAUAGACCUUCUUCCCAUUCAUCUCCGUUGGCAUUGAGGUAACCAACACCGUGCUUCUUCCGAUGUCCUCCUAGCUUGCGCAUAAUUUACUCGAAUUGCUAACUUUCGGCAAGACUCUUGAAGACACCUCUCUCUUCCUUUCCAUAAAUCAUUUUCUUUCUCAAGUGUAACUUGGCUAAGAGAAUCAUUAGUGGAAUCAAGAGAGCUACUAGAAACAACAUCAUUUGAUCUAACUUUAGCAUUUUGUUACUAGAUGAAGAAACUUUCUUGCAUUUGUUACUAGUGUUCUUAGGUUUGACUUGUGGAAUAAAAGUAGAUAAGAUUAAUCAUUUGAAUAGAUAAGAAUAACUCUUCUUCCGAAGAUCAUCAUUGAUUGCUCUUAGAAACUCAUGAUCUUGUCCUAAAUUUAGCUUCUCGAAGCAUAACUUCUCAUGAGUUCUUGCAAGCUCCCUUUGAUCUUCUAGAGUAGUUUCACGAGCUAACUUAAGAGUGUUAAAUACUUUAGUUAGUUGUUGAGUAUCUUUCUUAUCAUCAUCAUUCGAUUUCUCUUGACUAGCAUGAUUAUGUUCAAGUUCAUUUUCAAUGUUCUCACUAGUCUUAUCAAGGAGCAAGUCAUCUCCUCCUAACAAGUCAUCCUCAUCACUAUCAGAGUCAAAGUAAUUGGGGUGUGAUACCUUGGGGCCUUUUUCCAUGAAGUUGUUUCCAGUCCCUUCAUUUGGUGAAUCAAAUAAGUCAUAGGAGUUGGAGGAAACGAGUUCAAGACCGACAACACCUUCAUCUUGACUAUAGUCAGAGUUGGAGUGGUAGCUUCUCUCAGAUUGGUUGUCAGACUCGGAGCCGGAAAGCCUUUCACCAACAUGAUCUUGAUGUCUUGUUCUUGAGAUGCUCUUGGUGUACUUGUCCUUCCUCUCCAAUUCCUUUCCUCUCUGGGAGUGUCUUCGUUCAUAAUGAUCUUCUCUAAUCCUUCUCUUUGUGAGAGGUGACUCAUCUCUUGAGCUUCGUCUUCUAGGUGACUAUUCUCUUCUUUUGUGGGGAGCCGAGCACUCAUUGGAAUAGUGUCCUGGGUUUCCAUAGUUGUAGCAGUAUCGGUCACGACUAGACGAACGCUUCUCAUCAUGUAUUGAGCUUGAGCUUCUCUCCUUGCAUCUACUUUUGUAGAACUUGUUCAAUUUUAUGACCAUGAGGUUGAUCUCUUCAUUCGUAACAAAGUUGUCAUUUGAAGUAUCUUGAGUAUAACUUGAAACUCUGUAAGUACCGCUUGACUUGUUGUGCAACUCAUCUUUGUCCUUGAGUGACAUUUCAUGAGCAACAAUCCUUCCAAUAGCUUCAGUUGGCUUGAGAUCCUUGUAGUUUGGCAUCAUUUGAAUUAAUAUACACACGGUGUCGUAUCUUCCAUCCAAGGCUCUAAGUAUAUUCUUGAUGAUGAAUUAGUCGGUCAUCUCUUCACUUUCUAAGUCGGCAAUCUCAGCGACUCCCUCACCAUCCUUCAUCUUGAACUUGUCAAGAUGACUUUGAGGCACAUCCAACUUAGAUUCCAUGACAAAAUCAGCACCUUCGUGCAGAUGAAUCAAAGUAUCCCACGUGCAGAUGAAUCAAAGUAUCCCAAAUUUUCUUUGCAUUCUCAAGGCUUGAGAAUUUUAUUGCAACAUGUUCAAUUCUUCCGAUGUCGCAUCACGAUCCGGUUCCCUUGCUUCUCCAAAUAAAUCACCUUGCACACCAACACGAAUAACAGCCCAAACGGUAGGAUUAUGACCAAGAAUAUGCAUUUUCAUCUUAUGCUUCCAACUAGCGAAGUUUGUACCAUCGAAAUAUGCACCUCUACAGUGAUAAUUUCCCUCACUAGGCGCCAUACUCUCCUAGGUUGUGAAACCAAUGCAAUGGAGGCCAAAACUUUGAUACCACUUGUAGGAUCGAAAGGAUGUCUAGAGGGGGGAGGGUGAUUAAACUACUUGACAAGAUCAAAACUUAGCCUUUUCCCAAUUUUAGUUGUGGUCCAGUUUUAGAAACUACGAGUGGUCAAGUUCAGCCUACACAUGCAUAUCUAAGAGUAUAGAAGCGGAAAGUAAAUACAUGCAAAUGUAAUGUAGAGGGUAAGGUAGGAAGAUCAAACACAAAGGUUGACACAACUAUUUUUGGCGUGGUUCCGAUAGGUGGUGCUAUCAUACGUCCACAUUAGUGAAGACUUGAACCCAUGGAGGGUAAUGACUGCGAGAGUCCACGGAGGGCUCCACCCAUAAGGGGUCCACGAAGAAGCGGCCUUGUCUAUUCUACCAUGGCUUACAUCCACACAGGAGACAAGACUAGCCUCACUCACGGUACAUCUUCAUGAACUAGGCGAUCUCGUUGCCCUUACAAACUUCUUGGUUCAACUCCACAACACGAAGUAGGAGGAUCCCAAGCGACACCUAACCAAUCUAGGAGGCACCACCCUCCAAAAUGUAAUAGAUGCGGUAGAAUGAUGAACUCCUUGCUCUUGUGCUUCAAAAGAUAGUCUCAUCAACACUCAAUCACUCUCUCACAUAUUUGGCAUGGGUAGAAGAGAUUGAUCUUGUGGAAAAAACUUGGGGAGCCUACAGAUCAAGUUUCAAAUUGUUGAAUUGGAGUCUCUUGAUCUCAACAGAUCAGUAGGUUGCUCUCUCUCAGAAAUAUGGAUCUCGCAAGUGGGUGUAUGUUCUGAGUGCUUCCUCUAUGAAAUUGAGGAUGUGGAGGGGUAUAUAUAGGCAUCUCCCAAAAUCCAACCGUUACAACAUUAUUGCCCAACUCGGUGACAUUGAAAGGAAUCUUGGUGGUAUCGAGUUGCACUAAAUGUGGCAACUUUUGAAUUCUCGAUGAGACCAAUAUAUGAUCUCGGUGGUACCGAUACGAUGACCUAGACCAGUUUCCAAAUCUCAGCGAGACCGGCUCCAAUCUCGGAAAUUCUGAUUCUUGGAAUUUUCAUAACAGAAAGUUGGUCACUGAAUCUCGGUGGCACUGAUAUGAAAGUUGGUGGUACCGAGAGAUUAGGGUUUGGCAAAGGAUCUCUCUGGUGGAAAAUCAGUAGGGUCGAGUGGAAAAUAUUGGUGGCACUGAUUUUGCUGGUUUAGCUUUGGACAAAGAUAUAUUGUGGGAGAAUGGCUGAGUAUUUUUGGUGGCUAUCUCUAUGCACUUGAUCAACCAAUUCAUCAUAAUACCCCACCCCUUUUAAUAGUAUUGGGUUUCCUAUGGACUGAAAGUGAUUUCUCACAAAUGUAAAAUGUAGAGUCUUCUUGCUUGAAGCUUAAGCCAAUCCUAUUCCUUCCUUCAUCAAGGGGUUUCUCCUCACAAUCCUGUAGCCAAGGAAUCUUUGAAUUUUUUCCGAAAUAUACUUUGAUAAGCUCAUUAGUCCAAUGAUGCAUAUGUUUUGAUCAAUUAUCACGACCACCUUAGGGAACAAUUGUGCUUUCAGAGAGUUUCACCCCUCACAAACUGUUGUCGUUGCCACCAUAUAAACUAAGAAGCCACUACAAUCAGUUAUGAUGUUGGCAGCUCCCCUACUUUGGAUUGGUUUCUCUCUAAAACCUCAAUAGUUACAGAUCCUGACCGGUCCUCACAAACUGCCUUAUGGAUCACAUCUUUCACUCCAAGCUUUUUCCAAAUUCUAGAAGCACAACAAGAGGUGAAUAAGUAGUUAGAUAUCUUCAAACCCAACAUUGACUAGUAACAUGUAUGUGACAGCCAGUGAGCACUCCAAAGCAUGGUCGAAUUCCCCUCAGAACCUUCCAUGCAAAGGGUUUAACUUUGCGACAAACUCGAAGCCUUCAAGUAUGUUGUGUGUAAGUGUUAAACAUAAGAAAGUUGUUAAACUAAAUUGUGUUCUUAAUUUGUGCUAUAUAACUAGAUAUUGUGCCUUCUAUGAUACUACAAUUACUGUUAAACUGAAAAGCCCGCCACGACAACCAAAAAUGUUGACGUGUUCACUUGGCCUGACAAACAAUACUAGUGGCGGGCAUGUAUAAUAAACUGCCACUGGUACAAACAUUAGCAGUGGUGGACGCCCUGCCUGCCACUGAUGACUGGUUAGUAGCGACAGACACCCUUCACAAUAACCCUGCCAUUGGUAGGCAUUUUGUGUCUGCCACUGCUAGCCUGUUCUCCAGUAGUGACAAGGGUUUUCCUCCAAGACUAUAUCAUUCAUACCUAGUAUGCGUAGGAGUUAUCACCCGAUUUAAUGCAUGCAUGAUAGCAUGAAUCCUUUAGGGAUAAUUUGGAAGCAAGGUAAAGAAAAUGAGGGUAGCAAAUCCUCCCUUAUCACAUGAAUUUAAACAUCCCAUGUUAUUCACUUUAUUAAGUUGCCCCAUUUCAUUAAGUAAAAUUGUGCCCCUCAAAUUCACAAGAUUCCAAAGUUGUGGGAAUGAAAAGUACAAUGAGACGUCCAACUAAAUCAUAUAAUGUUUGUGAAUUUUGAAUCAAAGUUUUUUGAUUGUGCCACAGAAAGAACAAGAAUAUUAUUUACACUUUGUUUGAGCCAAUGCAAUUUUUCUUAUGUAAUGCAAGCAAAAUUGAAUCUGAAGGAGAAAAAUUUCCAAUAGGAUACGACUUUGGGGAUCAAAUAACACCCAUAGUAAAAAAGCAUAGGUCUAUUUAUAUCACAUCUAUAUUAUCUCACAUCUAAGUUAUGACAUCAGCGAAAGUCAAUGCUUUUCCAGCCCACCGCAUUUUCUUAUAUUUAUUUUUUUGCGACAUUUUUUCAUUCGUUUUUUUAUUGGAGCGUGCUAAAAAAUGCAAUAAGACUUGCCUAUGAAUCGAACUCAAGACUAGAUGGUGGUAGUUGAGAGCUCCCACCAGUAUAACCAUUACAUGCAUUUGAUAAAUUCUAAGCGGCAUAUCUUUAAGAAAAUACAACAGAGUUGAUAUUAGAAGAAAUUUUCAAGAAAAAUGUAAAAAAUUUUAAAUGUAAAAUAUUUCUGAAAACCAAAGAAAACUUGAAAUUUCCAAAGUAUUUUUCAAAUAUAAAUAAAGUUUGUAAUGCCAAACAUUUUUUGAAAAAUUAGAAAACAAUUUGAUAUUCCGAUUUUCUUAAAAAAGAUGACACUUUUUGAAAAAUUCCCGAACAAUUUAUAAAUCAGGUACACCUUUUAAAAUUCCAAUUCCUUUAAAAAACAUGGUUAAAUGAAUAUAUUUUUAUUGUAAUCAUAACUUUUCAACAAAUGUUUUUUUGCACCAUUAAAAGAAUGAGGGUGCAAAGAAUGUUCAUGUAGUUCACAAGAAUGUCCGUGAUGUUUAAUAAAAAUGUAUUAUACAAUGGAAAAUAAUCAUAACAUUCAAAUAAUUAUUAUUUACAAUCUUUUAAAAGAAACUUCACGCAUUUAGAAAAAUCAAAACAUUUUCUAGAAAAAAUAUUUGUCCGAUGUAAAAAAAAUGUUCACGUAUUUUUUUAAAAAUCAUACAAUUUAGAAAAAUGAUUUAAAAAAUGUUUACCAUGUAUUCUAAGAAUGCUUGGGCCUGUACUUGGAAAAAAAUAUUCAUCAUGCAUUUUUAAACAAUGGUAUGUGUGUUAAAAAAUGUUCCUAGUGUAUACAUGAAAAUGUACAAUGUGCAUUACAAAAGUUGACAUGUAUUUGUGAAAGCUAAAUUGCUCCCUAAGGUGGUUUUGAUAAUUAGUCACAUCAUAUGCAUCAUUGGACUAGUGAGUUUAUUCAAAUGCAUUUAAAAAAGUUCAAAGAUGCUUUGGCUAUAGGAUUCUGUGGAGAUACCCCUUUGAUGCAAGGAAGGAAUAUGAUUGGUUCAAGCUUCAAGCAAGAAGACUCUACAUUUUAUACUUUGUGAGAAAUCACUUUGAGUCCAUAGAAAAGCCAAUACUAUUAAAAAAGAGUGAGGUGUGAUGAUGAAUUGGUUGCUCAAGUGCUUAGAGAUAGCCACCAAAAAUACUGAGUCACUUUCCGACAAAAUAUAUAUGUCCUAAGCCACAUAAGCAAAAUCGAUGCCACCAACAUUUCCUACUCGUCCAUACCGAUUUUACACUUAGACAAAUUAUAUGCCAAACCCAUCAUCUCGGUACAACCAACAUUCCUAUCGGUGCCACCGAGAUUUGGUGACCAACAUUCUGUUGAGAUGAUUUCAAGUUUCGGAUUUUUUGAGUUUGAAUUUUGUCUCACCGAGUUUUGGAAACCAGUCUAGGUCAUCGUAUCGGUACCACCAAGAUUCUUAUAUCGGUCUCACCGAGAAUUCAAAAGUUGCCACAUUUAGUGCAACUUGGUACCACUGAGAUUCUUUUUGGUGUCACCGAGUUGGGCAAUACUGUUGUAACGGUUGGAUUUUGGGGGAUGCUUAUAUAUACCCCUCCACCUACCUCUCAUUCGUAGAGGAAGCACUCAGAACACACUUACACUUGUGAUAUCCAUUUUUCUGAGAGAGAGACACCUACUCAUGUGUUGAGAUCAAGAGAUUCCAAUCCAUUCAUUUGAACCUUGAUUUCUAGCCUUCCCAAGUUGCUUUCCACAAAAUCAAUCUCUCUUACCCAUGCCAAAUCUAUGAGAGAGUGAUUGAGUGUUGAGGAGACUAUCUUUUGAAGCACAAGAGCAAGGAGUUCAUCGUUCUACCACAUUGAUUACCUUUUGGAGGGUGGUGCCUCCUAGAUAGGUUAGGUGUCUCUUGGGAGCCUCUUACUUCGUAUUGUGGAGUUGAACCAAGAUGUUUGUAAAGGCAAGGAGAUCGCCUACUUCAUGAAGAUGUACCGUGAGUGAGGCUAGUCCUUCGUGGGCGGAAGCCGUGGUGGAAUAGACAAGGUCACUUCUUCGUGGACCCCUUGUGGGUGGAGCCCUCCGUGGACUCUCGCAGCCGUUACCCUCCAUGGGUUGUAGUCUCCACUAACAUGGACGUACGAUAACGCCACCUACCGGAACCAUGCUAAAAAUCUCCGUGUCAACCUUUGUGUUUGAUCUCCCUACCUCACCCUCUACUUUUUUUUGAUGGGAAACUGUAAGCAAAACCCCUCACAACGAGUUUUUUUUGAAAUAAUAAGAACUCAAAUUCGCGCCCGUGGGGACUUGAACGUGGGUGGCUGGGUUGUACAUCUACUCCACUAGACAAGUGAGCUAGGCUCACUUCCUUUACUCUUGCAUGUUUUACUUUCCGCUGCUAUACUCUUAGAUAUGCAUGUGUAGGGUUUACUUGACUAGUUAUAGUUGCUAAAACUGUCCCACACUUCAAAUUGGGAAACAACUAAGUUUUUAUCUUGUCAAGUAGUCUAAUCACCCCGCCUCUAGACAUACUUUCGAUCCUACAAUUUGGAAAAAUAACUAUAUAGGGGUACUGGGUUGGGAAUGAUUUGCAUGAGGAGAGUGGACAUGCAACUAUGUCGGACAUGAGCUGCAUGACUGAGUCGGGUGGGUUUACGUGUUGGGGUGGAAUGGAACUAGAUAGGGGCCGAGGCAAGUUGCGUGUUGAAAAACAAAACACAAGCUUACUUGUGCAUUAAGGGUGGACUUGCAAUUGGAAGAAGAGCUAGGUUGUGAGUGGAGGAUAGACUUACAUAUGGGACAACUACAAAUUGAGACCAAUUGCGUGUCAAUGGUUGACUUAAAACUGGGAUAAAACAAACUAUGGUUCAAGUUGCGAGUUAACGGUGGAUUUGCAACUAGGAUGAUGACAAAAAUAUAGGCUCACUUGCGAGUCAUUUGUGGGCUUGCAACUGGAAUAAAACAAACUAUGAGACUAGUUGCGAGUCGAUGUUGGACUUAUAACCGAGACAAGCAUAUAAACUAUGAUACGAGUUGAGAGUUGAGAGUAAACUUGCAAUUGAGAUGAAAAACAAAACACAUACCCAAUUGCGUGUCGAGGAUGGACUUGUAACUGAGAAAACAAAAAUAUGGGCCCGACUGCGAAUCGAGGAUGGACUUGCAACAGGGACAACAAAAAAACUAUGAUCCCACUUGUGAUUCGAGGACAAACUUGCAAUUGAGGCCCCUACAAGUACAAAGCCCUUAGUUACGAGUUGAGGUUGGAUUCGCAACUCGGGAAACUACAGGUACAGAAAGCCCAGUUGCGAGUCGAGGAUGGACUUGGAACCUUGAAAAUACGACUACAAAAAAGCCUCUGUUCCGAUUUGAGGGUGGACUUGCAACUGGGGCAACUACAUGUACAAAAAGGUCCCAGUUGUGAGUCGAGGGUAGAUUUUCAACUACGAUAACUACAGGUACAAACCUCGAGUUACGAGUCAACGGUGGACUUGCUACUAGGGUACCUAAAAUUACAACGCCUCGAGUUACGAGUCGGCGAUGGAGUUGAAGCUGGUGCACCUACAACUACAAAGCCUCGAGUUGCGAGUUGAGGAUGGACUUGCAACUAGAUUAACUACAAAGUACAAAAGAAAACCAGUUGUGAGUCAAGGGUUGACUUGCAACUAAGACAUCCACAGUUACACAAAAACCCCUAGUUGCAAAUCAAGGAUGGACUUGCAAGUGGAGCAACAAUAGGUACAAAGCCAGUUGUGAGUCGAUGGUAGACUUGCAACUUGGCCAACCACAACUACAAUACCUUCAAAAGAAGGGUGAAACUAUGAAAUUGGGAUGAAACCAACUAUGGGACCAGCUGCGUGUCGAGGGUGGACCUGGAACCGGGAUAAGAAAAAAAGUACAAGCUCAAGUUGUGAACCGAUGAUGGGGUUGAAACUCGAACAACUACAGGUUCAGUUACGAGUCGAUGAUGACUCCAAACUUGCACAACUACAAAACUAGGAGCCCAGUUGCGAGUCAUGGGUUGAUUUGCAACUAGGAUAAAACAAACUACUGGACCAGUUGCGAGUCAAGGGUGGACCUGCAACCGGCAUGAGAAACUAAACACAGUCUGAGUUGCGGCUCAAGGGUGGGCUUGAAACUGCUAUGAAACAAACUUCAUGCCUAGUUGCGAGGUCAGGAUGUACUUGUAACUGGGACAACUACAUGAAACUAAGAUAUGAGUUGCAAGUCGAGGGUGGACUUGCAACACGGACAAACUACACAAAACUACGAUACGAGUUGUAGUCGCGAGGGUGAACUUGUAACUGGGACAACUACAAAACUACGAGUCGAGUUGCAAUUCAAGUAUAUCAUUGCAAUUGGGAUGAAACAAACUACGGGCCUAAUUGCGAGUCAAGGGUGAACCUGUAACUGGGAUGAAAAACUACACAUAGACCGAGUUGCGAGUCAAGACUAGACUUGCAUCUAGGAUGAAAUAAACUACGGGCCUAGUUGUGAGUCAAGUGAGUACUUGCAACUCGGGAAAAUACACAAAACGACUACGAGUAGCGAUUCAACAGUUGACUUGCAACUCGGACAACUAAAUGAAACUACGAUAAGCGUUGCGAGUCCAGGGUAGACUUGCAGCUGGGACAACAAUAAGGCUAUGGGCUCAGUUGCGAUUCGAAGGCAAAUUUGCAAUUGGGACAACUACGAAACCAUGAGCCCAGUUGUGAGUCAAGGGUGAACUUGCAACCAGGAUGAAACAAACUACAUGCCUAGUUGCGAGGCAAGGGAGGACUUGCAACUCGGCAAGUACACAAAACUACCAUACUAUUUGGGAGUCAAGGAUGGACUUGCAACCGAAACAAUAACAAACUACGAGCCCAGUUACGAGUUGAAUGUGGACUUGCAACUAGGAUGAGAAAAACACAUAAUGAUUUAUGAGUUUAGGGUAAACUUGUAACUAGGAAAACUAAAAAUUCAUUUACGAGUUAAAGAUGGACUCUACAAAUUCUCGGUCAUGCCAAAAAAACACACAACGAAAAUGAACAAAAAAUAUAAAGGGAUCGCGCCUCCCAAGCAACGAUAAAAGUAACAUGAGAACAUGCGAGCAUAAAACAAAAUGGAACAAGAGGACGCGCGACAAGAGAGAAAGAGCUGACACGGACGCACAUGAUCGACUUUGUGCAAACAUCAAACAAAUCAGAUGAUUAUAACUUGAUAAGACAUCACUAAAUCUCAUCUAAAUAAGAUUUAGCAAAUCUAAAAAAUAUCUAGUUACACUCUCCUCUACUACACAGUCAAACUAAAAUAAACAUAUAACCCACAAAAAGCUAGUACACACAACGUAAAAGGGCACACUAAAAAAAGUCAUAUAUGACCUCACUGCUUAACGAGGAGCGAAUGAAAAACACGACACAUCAACAAUGAAAGUGAAUCAUAAGCAUAUGAAUCAGAUGAGACGUUGUUAACUCACAUUUACUCCCUCCGUACCUAAAUAUAAGUCUUUUAAUAUAUUUCAUUAGGUGUCUACAUACAAAGCAAAAUGAAUGAAUCUAUACUCUAAAACAUGUCUAUAUACAUUUGUAUGUAGUCCAUUAGUGCAACAUCUAGAAAGACUUAUAUUUAGGAACGGAGGGAGUAGAUGAGAAUUAGACGUGAGUUAACAAAAACAAUAAAAAAAGAAACCCCUGGAUCAUACCGUAGUGACCCACCAAAUGACGCACGUAGAAGUAGGUAAGUAAGUAAGUAUCUUGGAUUACCUGCGAUAGUGGGAGCAGAUAGGAGUGAAAGCUUUGAAUACUUUUGUGACAAAAUCAAGAAGCUUCUGAAGGGGUGGAUGGAAAAGCAACUGUCAACAGGAGGGAAAGAAAUCUUGUUAAAAGCAGUGGCUCAAUCCAUCCCUGUCUUCGCUAUGUCAGUUUUCUGUUUGCCUAAGGGAACUUGCAAGGAUAUCACGGAUGUAAUUGCUCAGUAUUGGUGGGGAGAUGAUGAAGAAAACAAAAAAAUGCACUGGUUCUCGUGGUGGAAACUAUGCAUCCGAAGUGUGAUGGUGGCAUGGGUUUCCGCGAUCUUCACUCUUUUAACUUGGCCCUUCUUGCGAAACAAUGUUGGAGAUUGAUCACAAGGUCGGAGUCCAUCUGUGCUCGCAUCUUGAAGGCAAAAUACUACCCAAAUACAGACUUGCUACACGCUGGACCAAAGAGCGGAUCUUCGUUCACAUGGCAAAGCUUGAUGGCGGGCUUGACUGCGUUUAAAAGAGGGUACAUUUGGCGAAUUGGUUCGAGGGAAAAUGUAAGUAUAUGGAAUGAUCCAUGGAUACCCUCAAGCCCGGACAGAAGGGUGAUAACUCCUCGGCGGCAGAUUCUGAUUUCGAGGGUGGUAGAGCUCAUUGAUCCAGUCACCGGCCAAUGGGAUGAACAAUUGAUACGAGACAUCUUUUACCCAGUCGAUGCAAACAGAAUCUUGCAGAUACCUUUAAAUUUUCAAGCAUUUGAUGACUUCAUUGCGUGGCACCUCACAAGGAAUGGUAUUUUCUCGGUGAGGAGUGCUUAUCAUGAACAAUGGUCACAUAAGCUCAGGGGUCAAUCCCUUGUGAAUUCAGUGUCCACCAGUACUAUGCAGGCAGCUAUUUGGAAGAAGCUCUGGGAGUUACAAGUGCCAUGGAAAAUACAGAUUUUCUUUUGGCGGGCGUUGCGUGGAAUUGUACCACUAAAAUCCAUUCUUGCUAAUAAGCACAUCCCUAUUGAUGGGGAGUGUCCGGUGUGCCAUAGGGGACCUGAAGACAUGCGGCAUAUGUUAUUCCAGUGUGAUUUGGCGAGAAGGUUGUGUGCUGGACUAGGGCUGAUUGAUCGUAUUGAACAAGCAGUUCAAGUGGAUCGCUCAGGGUCAGCCAUCUUAGAAUUUCUCCUACUAGAGCUGGACCAACCAAUGUCGAUCAUGUCAAGUAUUAAUGACAAAGAGGUAAUAGCGGCUGGCUGCUGGUAUCUCUGGUGGCUCCGCCGGCGACACACCCAUCAUGAUUCUUGCCCUCCAUCCUUCAGGUGGCAUACCUCAAUUCUAGCAAUAGUGGGAAAUUACAUAAAAUCUUUAUCAAAGAAGAGGGAACCGGUGGAACACAAGUGGAAGAGACCAGAGGCAAGAUUUAUAAAGCUAAAUGUGGAUGCUUCAUUCCAUUCAGAUGAAGGAUCGAGUUCUACUGCAGGUAUCUUACGAGAUGAAAAGGGUGGCUUUAUUGCAGGGUUUUGCAGAUUCAUUCCCUUUGCAGCUGACGUUGUCACGAUUGAAGCAAUGGCAAUGCGAGAUGGUUUACAUUUGGUGAACUCCUUGGGCUUUAACAGGGUAGAAGCGGAAUCAGAUUCUUUGAGCGUCAUCAAGUGUUGCCAAGGGCAAGAUCAGUGGUGGGAUGCAGCAGCGGCUGUCUUUGCUGAGUGCAUAGAUAUGGCUACAUCUAUAGGAAAGGUCAUCUUUUCUCAUUGUUUUCGUGAAGCUAAUUCAGUAGCUCAUGAGCUAGCAAAGUUUAGUUUCUGUAAUAAAGUUGAGCACAAUUGGACUAAUGAACCUCCUGAGUUCUUAGUUAGCCAAUUGAUGAAUGAUGUUUUGAUUAUUUGAGUUAAUAAAGCUAGCCAUGAUGGCCUUUCCUCAAAAGAAAAAAGGAAACGCAUGUACGCGACACUAGAUGCAGCAACAAAAUAAUCCAUGAUUAAGAUUUGAAAAAAUGUAAAACAAACAGAUGAGAGUAUGUUUUUCAUGAAUAUUAAAAAAAAUGGAAAACAAGAAAAUACAAAUAUAAAUAAAAGAAAACCAGGAAACUAAAAUACUUGAUAAUUUGAAACAAAUAAUAAAACAGAAAAAAGAAAAAGAAAAAGAAGAAACAACAAAAGUAAUGCGGCAGCCGAUAUAGGCUACAGCCCAUAUAACAAGAAGAACCUAUAGGUACGAGGGCAGCUACCUAACAUACCGUUGGCGAUCCUAAAAAAAGUGAUCCUCAAACGCAACAUUCGUUUCUUCAAAAACAGGGUUGGGGGGGGGGGGAUAACAUAGUGUAUGAAACAGAACUACUAGACGGAUGAAAAAAGCAAAUCAAUCCGUGGUUGGAUGAUUGGAGAGACAGUGAUAUCCCAGCACAUCAGGGUUUAAAUCCUGAUGCUACACUAUUUUUAAAUUUAUUUCAGGAUUUCCGACAAUAUGCUUUCAGUGGGAGGAGACAUUCCCGUCGAGGAUAAGAUGCCUACAGUGACUUUGUAAAUCUCAAGACGAUAUACUCGCUCAGUCUUUGAGAGAUGUUCAUAGGGAUAAGAUGUGUGUAUGUUCGGUUUAGGAGUUAAAUCUGAGAUAAGUAUUUUACAUCUAGAUGUGAAAUAGCAAUUUCAAAAAUUCAUAUGAAAAAUCUCUGAAUGAAAAAGACUCAUUAACUUAGAAACUCCAUGCAAAAAUACAAGGCUAACUUUUUUUCUCUUAAAUAAAAAAGAAAAAUAGAGAAAAAUGACGGAGGAUAACACUUGGCAGUGGGCGGGUGAAACACAUCACAAUUUUAUUUUCAAAUUGAUCUCUAACCAGGAAAAUACCCCGCGCAUACAACCAAGACCACGCACUCACCCCAUCGCAUGGCCUCCACACGCCUUGUCGAUAUCCAUGGUGGCAUCUAGCGCCGGCCGGGUGGCACGGAUCCCCCUUCACUCCCUCAGCGUGUGAACGUCGUCGCUCCAGCCCAACCGUUGCUCGUGUUCAGGAUAAGCUGCCCAGCUCGUCCGCCCUUCUUAUUGCCGCUGCUUCUCAGCUCACACGCUCCAACACUAUCCUCUCGUGUCUCGUCGAGCUAUCUGUCCACGGAGUAGUACCUUCCCGAGCUAGCUCGCAGCUCCGCCGCAAUGGCCACCGUGGUGAGCAGCCUCCGCUUGCCCUUCUCCGUCUGCGCCGCCGCCCCCUCGGCGCCCAUGGCAUCCCGCGUCGCGCUCCCGCUGUCGUCGACGGCUGCCAGGGGCAUGAGGCUCCGCGCGCAGGCGACGUACAAGGUGAAGCUGAUCACGCCGGAGGGCGAGGUGGACCUCGAGGUCCCCGACGACGUCUACAUCCUCGACCACGCCGAGGAGGAAGGGAUCGACCUGCCCUACUCCUGCCGCGCCGGCUCCUGCUCCUCCUGCGCCGGGAAGGUGGUCUCCGGCCAGCUGGACCAGUCCGACCAGAGCUUCCUCGACGACGACCAGAUCGAGGCGGGGUGGGUGCUCACCUGCGCCGCGUACCCCACCUCGGACCUCGUCAUCGAGACACACAAGGAGGAGGAGCUCACCGCUUGAAUUCACUGAUUUUGUGUAUUUCCAUCCGUUUCCGGCGUGCGCGUGUAUAUGCACGAUGCAUGAACUGUAUCAGGAUAUUGAGGAGUUACAGAGUAAUUAGUACUUGCUG